rnacentral:lncRNA from 1 species
CGAAAAUCAGCCUAUAACAGUUCUGUCAAGGGGAUGGACCAAGCGAGCACGGGAUAGGGGGAAAAAAUCAACAAAAAUUUGAAAUUUUCAAUACGAAACAAGGAAAAAUACAUGAUAUUAUUGUCCACGAGUUUAUGAAACUAUAAGAGUUCCCAGUAGGUCUUGUAUAUGACCUGUGGCAAUCACAAUCCGUUCGAGGCUUUUUAAUGACUAAAUCAGUGAAAAUGUUCUUCCAACCCACAUCACUUCAGUUGAAGAUCAGAAUUAUCGACCCGUCUUACCUAAGCUGACUGAACGGAAAAAUGAACAAAAAAUCAAGAAAAUGUUCUAUUUUGACUAAUCUUGUGAAAAGGAGAGUUUCUUGUCCCAUGUCUCUGGCUAUGCAUAAAAAUGUAUAACAACCUGUAGGACUUGAGAACAUGUUCGACUACAAUCUGGAGCUGAUGAUUCUUGAUCUGCCCAUUAAAAUAAAUCAGGUAUACUGCAAAAACAACACAUUCAAUCAAGAUAUAAUGCAAAUCAUCAAUCAUCAAAUGAUUCAUCAAACAUGAUUUAUCAAAAGAUAGCAUAACAAUGGAUAAAUAAAUACCCAUCUUAAGCUAGCAACCCUCAAAUGUAUCCCCUUUAUGGGGCCAAAGGCAUAAUGCACGAAAAGGUUACUUAAAACUAGCCCGCGGACCUGACUUUCACAUAAACUAUCAAUGCUUCAGCUAACAAUUAUGUGGAGAAGUUCUACCACAUGAAUACCAAACAAUUUAAAAUUAUCCCCAUAAACCAUGAAGUGCUGUUACUAGCUCAAAAAUUAGUUCUAAAAGUAAAUGAAAGGAAGUUCUAACACAUGAAUACCAAACAAUUUAAAAUUAUCCCCAUAAACCAUGAAGUGCUGUUACUAGCUCAAAAAUUAGUUCUAAAAAGUAAAUGAAAGGAAGUUCUUCCACACCUCUGGGUUUCAUACGAGUACUCAGCAUGCAGGAGGAAACAGGAUGCCCUUAUAGGUAAAAGGCAAUUGAGAGUAGGGCCCAAGAGCUUAAUUGAACAAAUCGGUAUAACGCAUAAGAUCAAACUUUUGUCCUCAUAAAUUCAUCCGCAACUCUGUAAUAUAUUAAUCAUCAUCCCCUCCAAAAUAGGUAAAUAAAUAAAAACACUUCUGCUAAUCUUUCUCCCGAAUUGGGUGUCUUCAACACUAUUUUAACCACUCACAUCAAAUCAACCUCAAAUUCAAAACAACUAACACAACCACUGCACAAAUGGAUCUCAUACCCGAAUAUCAAAUAUAAUAAAGCUCUAUCAGCUUCAGUUCACCAUUGUAUCCCUAUACUCCCAAAAGCCUUGUCUGCACUUUUCAAUGUAUAAUGAAUAGCAAGUGGAAGAGUGAAUGUGCGAAUCUAUGCCUUUGAUUGGGAAGUACUUUUAAACACUCUUGGUUCAAUUACUUUUACAUCCGCACAUUUCCUAUGACCCACAAGUACUAUCCACUUUUACAUCACUCAUUUCUAUAUAAACACUUCCCGAACAUACUCUAACCAAAUGAAACGGUACCCACGACCCACAAUUACAAUGUGGUAUAUUUAGAUAUUCUUGGUUCAACUACUUCUACAACCACACAUUUCCUAUGACCCACAAGUACUACCCACUUUUACAUCACUCAUUUCUAUAUAAACACUUCCCUAAC